UCAACAAAAUUCUUAUAGCCUAGCUUGGAAGUGGAAUGCUAAAAGAACAAGUAUGCCUUCUACAUUGGAGCCCAAACCGUCCAUUAAAGGGGAAAGAAGCCCAAAUUCGGAAAUGACUUGGUAGAGCAGCCAAACCAAGUUUGGAAAUUUUAAUUAAGUGUCCUUACAUGUAUAAAUAAAAAAAUAAAAAACCAGCCCCAGUCAA
rnacentral:lncRNA from 1 species